rnacentral:rRNA from 1 species
AUGCUCCAAGCUCAUAAUCAAGCUACUCUUCUCCAUGGCGUAUCAUCCACAAACCGACGGCCAAACGCAGGUGACCAACCACACACUCACCGCUCUACUUCGAGUACUCAUCAAGAAGAACAUCAAGGAGUGGGAGGAGUGUCUACCUAUCACCGAGUUCGCCUACAACCGCGCAAGACUCUCAACAACCAGCAAGUCACCCUUCGAGGUCGUCUACGGAUUCAACCCUUUGUCCCCAUUGGACAUUCUCCCUCUACCACUCCAAGAGCGCAUCAAUUUGGACGCAAGUGCACGUGUGACUCAUCUCAAGAAGGUGCAUGA